rnacentral:rRNA from 1 species
GUGCGUAGGCGGCGCGGUAAGUCGGGUGUGAAAUCUCGGAGCUUAACUCCGAAACUGCAUUCGAUACUGCCGUGCUCGAGGACUGGAGAGGAGACUGGAAUUUACGGUGUAGCAGUGAAAUGCGUAGAUAUCGUAAGGAAGACCAGUGGCGAAGGCGGGUCUCUGGACAGUUCCUGACGCUGAGGCACGAAAGGGUCAGGGGAGGCAAAACCGG